GACGAACGCUGGCGGCGUGCUUAACACAUGCAAGUCGAACGGAAAGGCCCUGCUUUUGUGGGGUGCUCGAGUGGCGAACGGGUGAGUAACACGUGAGUAACCUGCCCUUGACUUUGGGAUAACUUCAGGAAACUUGGGCUAAUACCGGAUAGGAGCUCCUGCUGCAUGGUGGGGGGUGGAAAGUUUCGGCGGUUGGGGAUGGACUCGCGGCUUAUCAGCUUGUUGGUGGGGUAGUGGCUUACCAAGGCUUUGACGGGUAGCCGGCCUGAGAGGGUGACCGGCCACAUUGGGACUGAGAUACGGCCCAGACUCCUACGGGAGGCAGCAGUGGGGAAUAUUGCACAAUGGGCGGAAGCCUGAUGCAGCAACGCCGCGUGCGGGAUGACGGCCUUCGGGUUGUAAACCGCUUUCGCCUGUGACGAAGCGUGAGUGACGGUAAUGGGUAAAGAAGCACCGGCUAACUACGUG
rnacentral:rRNA from 1 species